GCGGACGGGUUAGUAAUACGAUCGAACGUGCCCCGAGGCGGGGGAUAGGCAUGGGAAACUGUGCGUAAUACCCCAUAAUCUCUCCGGAGCAAAGGUUUACCACCUUGGGAUCGGCGAUCGUCCUAUCAGCUAGUUGGCGGGGUAACGGCCCACCAAGGCUAUGACGGGUAGCAGGUGUGAGAGCACGACCUGCAACAUCGGGACUGAGACACUGCCCGGACUCCUACGGGAGGCUGCAGCGACGAAUCUUCCGCAAUGGGCGCAAGCCUGACGGAGCGACGCCGCGUGUGGGAUGAAGCGUCUUCGACGUGUAAACCACUGUCAGGGGGCAGAACCAAUGAUCGCCCCCAGAGGAAGAGACGGCUAACCCUGUGCCAGCAGCCGCGGUAAGACAGGGGUCUCGAGCGUUAAUCGGAAUUACUGGGCUUAAAGGGUGCGUAGGCCGGCCCGCAAGUGACUUGUGAAAUCCCCCGGCUCAACCGGGGAACAGCUCGUCAUACUGCGGGUCUUGAGGAAGGUAGGGGUCGCCAGAACUGUAGGUGGAGCGGUGAAAUGCGUAGAUAUCUACAGGAAUGCCGAUGGUGAAGACGGGCGACUGGGCCUUUCCUGACGCUGAGGCACGAAAGCGUGGGGAGCAAACAGGAUUAGAUACCCUGGUAGUCCACGCCGUAAACGAUGCGCGCUAGAU
rnacentral:rRNA from 1 species